UUGCCAGACUCCUACGGGAGGCAGCAGUGGGGGAUAUUGCACAAUGGGGGGAACCCUGAUGCAGCGACGCCGCGUGGGUGAGGAAGUACCCCGGUAUGUAAAGCCCUUUCGGCAGGGAAGAAAAUGACGGUACCUGGCGAAGAAGCCCCGGCUAACUACGUGCCAGCAGCCGCGGUAAUACGUAGGGGGCAAGCGUUAUCCGGAUUUACUGGGUGUAAAGGGAGCGUAGACGGCAGUGCAAGUCUGGAGUGAAAGGCGGGGGCUCAACCCCCGGACUGCUCUGGAAACUGUACGGCUGGAGUGCAGGAGAGGUAAGUGGAAUUCCUAGUGUAGCGGUGAAAUGCGUAGAUAUUAGGAGGAACACCAGUGGCGAAGGCGGCGUACUGGACUGUAACUGACGUUGAGGCUCGAAAGCGUGGGGAGCAAACAGG
rnacentral:rRNA from 1 species